CCCCCGUACCUCAUCCCCAGUCAAUGGGUCGUCAUCCCAAUCUUCCUCCUCCCUGGACCACGCUAGAAAAAAUCACAGGAAUCCUCCCUCGGCACCUCAUCUCCAGUCAAUGGGUCGGCCUCCCUGAUCUUCCUCCUCUCGGAACGCAGGAACAAUUCCAUCAAUGGUUGAUUUGUGACGUGCGAUUAAGCAUGGAGGUCUGGGCGCUCCUCCUAUUCCCAAGGAGGAGCCGUGUCGGUGCUCUUGCCGCCGGUAGCACCGCUUUCCUAUCCUUCUUCCGAAGGGAGAUAUACUGCCUACCUCCUGCUAUUCUAUCCAAUAUCUGCUAGGAGUUGACUACAUGGUGUCAUGCUCUGAAGUUUGCUGCAUCCCUGUAGGAUUUUCCACUGCGACUCCACGAGUAAAUCUGAACCACAACUUUGCCUCUCUCGGUUUGCUUUUCCAUCAAGAUAGAAAUCUAACACCCCGCAAAAAAAAAUCUAACGUAUUCUUUCAUCUGACUCUGCCUAUGAAAUCUCUGUCCUGUAUGCUAUGUUUUUCUAAUUUACAUCCUAUAUGGACAACAUCCUGAGAGUCAAAGAUAGAUCACGGAAAGCAGCCACAUCAUCAUUGGCUGUGUAGUGUACGUCCGAUUCAGAACCGUGUCGAAUUGCAUAUCGGUAGUCAGCACAUAGGGAAGCCCAUAAAAGUUGACUUUUUUUAUUCGGGUACUUCUGUAGGCAGACAUACGGUGGAUGCAUGAGCGAGUCGUUGAGGUACAUACAACAAUACCAUCCAUCCAUAUGCACACAAUCAUUUUUUAGAGAAGCACGUACAACCUCUUUUGCCUUAAUUGGUAGCCAUGUUUCUAAUCCUAUGCUUGCAGAAGUUUGAUAGUUCUCUCCCUCCCUACUUCUAAUAUUUAAAUCCCUGUAUGUCUCUUUUUUUGUCCAUAAAAAGGUAGAACCUGUUGUCCAUAAUGGUUCGCAGUUGGUCAGUAUGGUUCUUUUAACAAGAAUUUUGUGUAUAUAUAAGUUUACAAUGGAACAAAACAAUAUAUGGAGCAUAGAAAUAUUACCUGAAGCUUUUGGUUGUGAUAUUUGAGCUAGAGUUUAGAUUAGUGAUCUUGGACAUUGAUUAUGUGUUUGUAAUUUCGCCUUGGGACCUUAAUAAAUUAGAAGUAUUUUUGUCUCAUGAUUUGCAUUUCGUGUCUAUUUUCUCUACAAAAUCUAGAACUCCAGUUCCGAUCAUGAUAUUUGCAUGUCGUUAUUUGUAACUUCACACAAGUUAAUCUCACAAAGAAUCAUAAGUUUUAGAGAUUUUGGAGAGAAGUUUACGAAGUAAGAUGAGCAGGCAUGUGACUUCAUGUACCUUAUUAAAGCAUCCAUGAUAAUGAUUAGCCCUUUCUGACAAAAAUAUAAAAUUAACUCCCAUGUUUCUGCAGGCCCAUUGAAAGGAAAACUUAUCAAUGUUUUUACUAUUUCUCAGUCUCAUGAGUCCCUAAAUUGAGUUUCUGCUCAACGUGGUCUACAUCUUUUGAGGAUACGGAUCGUAAUCCAUCAGAUGCAGUUCCGACGGUUCGCAAGUAUGACCGGUGAUAAACAAUCUGAGAUAUCAGGGGGAAAAUAUCCAAACUGAGAGACGAAGGGGGUACAAUAGGUAAGGUUGGAUGAAGCACGCUCCCUGAUAGGAGAAUGAAUUUGACUUUUUUUCCAAGUACCAGAAAUUUGUAUAUAAGAAUAAAUAUGACCUAAACAACACAAUGCUGACUUUUAAUUUAUGUCAAUCCUUUUAAUUUA